CUUAGUAAAUAUGCCGGGAACUGCAGGUGCAGCUGACCUGCCGCCGACAAAAACAAUAAUUGUCUACAGGAACGGAGACGCUUUCUUCCCCGGAAGGAAAGUAGUCGUGAAUCCGCGGCAGGUGUCAACCUUUGACAACUUGCUGACCUAUUUGACCAGAGGGAUUGAGGCUCCGUUUGGCGCCGUGAGGAAGCUGUACACUCCCACAGAGGGACACAAAGUUCAGCAUAUGGACGAUUUGAAGCAUGGGAGUGCAUAUGUUGCAGGCGGAAAUGAACAGUUUAAAAAGCUGGACUAUUGUGAGAUUACACACAAGAAGCCACAGAAUAAGGAAAAAGAACCGAUCCUACCUGUUGUUCACAGCAGAUUAGUAGUUUCUGCUCGCUGGAGGAGAACUUCUGAUGAGUCUUGUACGAUAAAUGUCUUCACCAACGGAGAUGUCUUGGUUCCUCCAGCUCGAAUACGGAUCCCAAAGUAUACUCUUAGAAGCUGGGAAAAUGUUUUAGCAAUGGUGACAAAGAGAGUGGGUCUUCGCACUGGGGCUGUGUACAGGCUUUGCAGAUUAGAUGGACGUCCUGUCUGUGGUCCCACUGAACUUCAGAAUAACCAGCACUAUGUUGCAGUUGGUGCAGAAAAGUUUAAAGCUCUCCCAUAUGAGCACCGCACCCCCUGCAGGGAUUUAAUCCGGGAAAACAAGAUGUUUGAAGGCCAAGACACCCUGCCUGCCAUUAGAAAGACAAGACAUGCAAAGGAUGUGUUUGCUCACACAGGCUUUAGAGAGGACCUUGAGCCCGCAGCCAGGGGCCAGAUGCAGAAACCCACAGCCAAGCUGCAGAGAACCAAACAACAGAGGCAGGUGUCCAGAAACCCAGUUCUCCUCUCAACAGGGGAGGGCAGCGUGUUCCAUGCACAAAACAAAAGAAGUGAGGUGGCAGGAGCAGCCGAGGUGCAGGAAGAGCGCCAGUUGAAGGUGGACCUGCCAAUUGAUCAGGUUGAGGCCAAGAUAGUUGACGAGGAGUAUGAGGAUAGGAGUUGUUGUGCGAGCCCCUGCAAGGCCUCCCUCCAUGAUUCAGACGGCUUGUAUCUGCAGAGGUCUUUUUCGGCAGGUUCUGGGAAGGAUGUCACAUAAAAUGGUCUAACCAGCAAUUAUGCAGCGCAGCCUUUCUUUAGGGCAAUGAGAGUCUGUAAAGACCCCAGGGCACAAUUCUAAUACUGGAGACACAGGAUUAAAACCACCUGAGCACCAGAAAAAAUUUAACCGUAACCUUCAUUGCUGUGAUGGCAGGACAAGCCAGAGCCAUAGAAUACAAUGUCAGACUGCUACGGACCAGACAUCCUUGUUCUCUUCUGUCUCCAAAUGCCAGCUGCUCAUGUAUAAGUUGAAACCGUGUUAAAAACCAAAUAAAAAUGUCUUGCCUCUUGACAGCCCCACCGUGAA